GUUACAAGGAGUGAUGGGAGAUAAACGUCAUAGGGACCUCCAAAUGUCCUUAAGCAUAAAACCAUAGAGUUUACCUGAUCACGUGACCCGCAGGUCCUGUUAUGCUAUGCAUAGUCGUGACAAAUGAAUGGAAGACAAAUUAUCCCACACAAUUCUUCAGUUUCCGCAACAGUAUCAGAUAAAAAACUAUAAAUCCAGACAUACAGUAAAUGAAACAAAGACAAUUCUGCCUGGCCUGAGGAGUCUCUCUUCUUCUCUCUGUUGGCAGCAUCUGGUGGCGAGUGGGUGGAUGACUGCAAACAAUAUGACUAUAUUUUCAGUCCAACUGCGAGCUCUAUACAAGACAAUAAGGAGUUAACACAUGGAAGUAAUUUGCCUCUCAUACCCUGGAACAGAAGUGGCGGACAUUUUUGAGCCUCAAUUGGCCUAGAAUCUUCCUCAAAACCCCUAGAAACACGGGAACAGAGCCCCCACCCAUAAACCAAAAGAACAGUAAAAGUAAACCAGGAGACUAGAUUGGAAAAAAUAGGCCACGGUUUAUUAUCAUAUUAUUAUUUAUAAUUAGAUCAUAAUAAAUUAAUAACAUACUGUAACAGUAGCCGAUCAAAUAAAAAACCGUGACAGUGAAAUAAAAAAGAGGAGGGGGCAGGACGCUGAUCCAUCUUGUUGCCACGAUGAUCAAAGAGGACAGGAGCACGGAACCGACCUAAAUAGACUCCCAGUCCCCACACUAGACAGCGGGACCAAUCCCGAACCUGAUGAACAGCAGCUUGACCUGGUAAGUUAAUCAGCAGAACAGAGCAGACAAGAAAAUGUAGUGCUCGGGGAUGAGGGGUGAACAGGGGUGUUGCAGUGUAGUGUUGCUGGGUAUAGGAUUAACCCUUGAUUGUCGUGACACCAGGGUG